rnacentral:rRNA from 1 species
GACGUAGGGCGCGAGCGUUGUCCGGAUUUAUUGGGCGUAAAGAGCUCGUAGGCGGUUUGUCGCGUCGUCUGUGAAAACCCACGGCUCAACUGUGGGCUUGCAGUCGAUACGGGCAGGCUAGAGUUCGGUAGGGGAGACUGGAAUUCCUGGUGUAGCGGUGAAAUGCGCAGAUAUCAGGAGGAACACCGGUGGCGAAGGCGGGUCUCUGGGCCAUUACUGACGCUGAGGAGCGAAAGCGUGGGGAGCGAACAGG